GCCCAGUGACUAAUAUUCAACGGCCGCGGUAUCCUAACCGUGCGAAGGUAGCGUAAUCACUUGUUCUUUAAAUGGGGACUAGUAUGAAUGGCAUCACGAGGGUUAUACUGUCUCCUUUUUCUAAUCAGUGAAUCUAAUCUCCCCGUGAAGAAACGGGGAUACACCUACAAGACGAGAAGACCCUAUGGAGCUUUAAAUACCUCUUCAAACGUUGGACCUCCUCCCCAGUUUUAAACUCACCUAUAUUAACCCCGUACGCUAUGAAGACAACUUUAGGUUGGGGUGACCGCGGAGUACAACAUAACCUCCACGCUGAAUCAGACUCUUUAAGCCUGAGCCAAGAGCCACUGCUCAAAGCACUAAGAAAUUAACACUUAUUGACCCAAAACAUUUGAUCAACGAACCAAGUUACCCUAGGGAUAACAGCGCAAUCCAUUUCAAGAGUCCAUAUCGACAAAUGGGUUUACGACCUCGAUGUUGGAUCAGGGUAUCCCAGUGGUGCAGCCGCUACUAAUGGUUCGUUUGUUCAACGAUUAAAACCCUACGUGA
rnacentral:rRNA from 1 species